rnacentral:rRNA from 1 species
AACGAACGCUGGCGGCAUGCCUAACACAUGCAAGUCGAACGAAGGCUUCGGCCUUAGUGGCGCACGGGUGCGUAACGCGUGGGAAUCUGCCCUUGGGUUCGGAAUAACAGCGGGAAACUGCUGCUAAUACCGGAUGAUGACGUAAGUCCAAAGAUUUAUCGCCCAAGGAUGAGCCCGCGUAGGAUUAGCUAGUUGGUGGGGUAAAGGCCCACCAAGGCGACGAUCCUUAGCUGGUCUGAGAGGAUGAUCAGCCACACUGGGACUGAGACACGGCCCAGACUCCUACGGGAGGCAGCAGUGGGGAAUAUUGGACAAUGGGCGAAAGCCUGAUCCAGCAAUGCCGCGUGAGUGAUGAAGGCCUUAGGGUUGUAAAGCUCUUUUACCCGGGAUGAUAAUGACAGGACCGGGAGAAGAAGCUCCGGCGAACUCCGU